rnacentral:lncRNA from 1 species
CUCUAGCGCCGCAGCCUCUCCACGUUAGUAGGCGUGUCAUCUGACAUCCCCUCUGCCACCACCACCGUUGACUUCGCUCUUUGCCACUAUCACCUGCAAAACAACAGAAAAACAAAAGCAAAAGACAGAAGCAGAAACAGAAGAAAGAAAAAGAGAAAACAAAUAAAUAUAUGUAUUAUAUUUCAGCUAUAAAGGCCGAAAAAUAGU